rnacentral:rRNA from 3 species
GUCUGCGUGGAGCCGACCUUGAAAUACCACCCUUUAAUGUUUGAUGUUCUAACGUGGACCCGUUACCCGGGUUGCGGACAGUGUCUGGUGGGUAGUUUGACUGGGGCGGUCUCCUCCUAAAGAGUAACGGAGGAGCACGAAGGUUGGCUAAUCCUGGUCGGACAUCAGGAGGUUAGUGCAAUGGCAUAAGCCAGCUUGACUGCGAGCGUGACGGCGCGAGCAGGUGCGAAAGCAGGUCAUAGUGAUCCGGUGGUUCUGAAUGGAAGGGCCAUCGCUCAACGGAUAAAAGGUACUCCGGGGAUAACAGGCUGAUACCGCCCAAGAGUUCAUAUCGACGGCGGUGUUUGGCACCUCGAUGUCGGCUCAUCACAUCCUGGGGCUGAAGUAGGUCCCAAGGGUAUGGCUGUUCGCCAUUUAAAGUGGUACGCGAGCUGGGUUUAGAACGUCGUGAGACAGUUCGGUCCCUAUCUGCCGUGGGCGCUGGAGAACUGAGGGGGGCUGCUCCUAGUACGAGAGGACCGGAGUGGACGCAUCACUGGUGUUCGGGUUGUCAUGCCAAUGGCACUGCCCGGUAGCUAAAUGCGGAAGAGAUAAGUGCUGAAAGCAUCUAAGCACGAAACUUGCCCCGA